rnacentral:lncRNA from 1 species
UUGGAUGAUCAUACAUGAGAAUGUAAACUAAAAAGUAAAAACCAAACGGCCACACAAUGUAUUCUUUUACUUUCUUCAGUUUUGUUGUUCGUAAGAGAAGAAGAAUCAAAAGAAGAGAGAAAGAAUAAGCUUCUUGUGCUGUUGUUGAGGUUCUAAAGCUUGGAUUUGCCACUGCGAGGAGGGUCCUUUGCCCAGAGAGGAGGGAUGAUUCUAUGGUCUUGCUGCACAGGCUGCUGCUGCUCUUCCUUUCUCUCGGUCUCUUUCUCGUCCUCUAGAACCUCUUUAGAGAAUGCGUUUGGGUUGGCUUUGACACAUUUUUGCAAGGCCACGAAUGGAUGCACACAGUCUGAUCCCUGCAACAAACAAAUGUUUUGUCAGCACUUGGUUCCAUCAGCCUAAACAAUCUAGUAGCAAGGUUUACCUUUUCUUCAGCAGUGCUGAUGAGAAAGCAACGGAACGCUUCAGUGAACUGAGACCCGCAAGAUCCAUUGCGGAGAUCAGCUAUGCAAGGACAAUCGAGAGCUUUCUGUGCCUUGGCUUCAAGCGACUGAUGGGAAUUGGUGCUUUGUCAGAAAAAACUCAGAAAAGAGCUUGCGAAUAAACAGAGUAAGAGAGAGUAGGAGGAUUAACCUCGUUCUCAUUGUCACCUUCACCAAAUGCUGCAGCUUCUGUAAUAUUAAUGGAGAGGACAAGGAUGUCAAAUAUCACUCAGAGAAGAACACAAAAACUACAAAGAGCUUAUAAAUGGUACUCAGAGAGCUUAUAAAUGGUACUCAGAGAGCUAAAACAAGAACAGAAACUGAGAAUAAGGCAAUUUCAAUGGUAAUCAAAAGCAUAGACUAAAACAAUUCACAAAAAUAAUUGACUUUUCAGCUAAUAUAUAGACAUUCAUUUCGAUGGAGAUAUAGAAAGCCGAACCUGCAAGGAGAGACCCCAUCGAAGUAUCAUCGCCAUCAGAAUCCCGCGGCGGAUUCGUGGAAGGAGGAGGAGUAUUACUCGUCGGCGUUGUGGAUGAGGCAGAGUUGUCGUUACUCUGAGCUUGACCCAUCUCUCCCUUUCUCCUCCGUCUGAGCAAAAACCUCCCAAGUUAGCCGCCGACGAGAAUCAGAUCCCGCAAAAAUGAAAUGGAAUCUAUACAUGGCCCAGAUUAUCAUUAUAUGGGCUUUAUGAUCUAUUGGGCUUGAGUUCGAAAGCUCUGCUCUUUUGUUUCUGUGGUAACUUUUUGGUUCUUGGUGGGCAGAAGAAAGAAAGAUUCAAUUUCUCUUGUUAAUUUUCCAAAGGGCCCCCCGAAAAAAGAGAGAAAAGUUCAAUUUCAUCAACAAGAAACAACUGCGAAACAGAAGUACAAUGAUUCUAAAUCUUUGCUUAGGCUGUCAAACGAGCAUGAAGUAGGGUCAAGACACUUUUUAAUAUAAAACCCAGAAACACACCAAUUUGAUUUCUUUUUUUUUUGUUGUUGUCAACCCUUUCGGCUUAUUAACGAGUAACGACUCCCACUAUGGUCGAUUCUAGCUGUCAAAGUCCAUACACUUUACUCUGCGUUUCAAAAUUCCGAACACCUUUUGUUGUUUAUCACGAUUCACGGGGGCUUCUAGCGUAAAACUAAUCGGUGAUCAGUGGAUUGAUUCUAACUCUUUAUAUAUUACUUAAGUUCCUUUAGAAUUUUCGAUGUGAGAUAUAUAUCCCUAAUAAUCCUCCUCGAGAUAAUGGUUUUUAUCGGUCAGAAAUCUCGGAACUUUAGGAUAUUUAUACUCGGUUGAGCGAGUUUAAUACGAUCUUUAUAUCUGAUCGGAAUGGUUAAUAUUAAUUAGGAGUUUAGGGUAUUUAGGAAUCUGGCUUUGAUAUCCUGUUAGAUUCGGGUUUGUUAUGAGUUUCCAACUUAAAAUCAAUUGGUGAUGAAUUGAUCAUAACUCUUUAUAUAUUACUUAAGGUCCAUUAUAAUUCUCUAUGUGAGAUAUAUAUCCCUAAUACCUUUCUGAACGUUAAUUAUUUUGGGUUAGUACGAAAUGUUUAUCCAUUUUAUAAGACGAAACAUUUUUCAAUUCAAAUAAUAUUAUUUUAACCAUUUUUAUUAAUUAAGAAAAAGUUUCUUUAAUUUUUUUCAAAAUCUGAAACCAACCGUUACUAAUAAAUAACUAGUAUGAUAUAACGUAAAUUAUUCCUCCCAACUAAAAUUGAAUUAGACGCACAACAAAACUAUUUUUUGCGCCGAAACCACUAUCCCAGUACACCAUUUAUAUAACUUUAACCAUUUCAUUAUGUGGAAUUGAAUGAUUUAGAGAACUUGGAACCGGUUUCCUAAACCCGGUUUAUCAACUCCUAAUCAGAGCGAACCGUUCCUAGUUACGUCCAUGCAGUAUGUAAAACAGUGGGCGUCCACCACAUUUGAGGCUCAUACUGUCGUACUUACAUGUUGUGUUGUUGAUUACGAUGUCUAUGCGGCAGGUUAUGAAUAGUUUUUCUUUUCAAAUUAAUCACAACAAAUUAUUUUAAUGUGUGAAAGAAUAAGCUUCUUGUGCUGUUGUUGAGGUUCUAAAGCUUGGAUUUGCCACUGCGAGGAGGGUCCUUUGCCCAGAGAGGAGGGAUGAUUCUAUGGUCUUGCUGCACAGGCUGCUGCUGCUCUUCCUUUCUCUCGGUCUCUUUCUCGUCCUCUAGAACCUCUUUAGAGAAUGCGUUU